rnacentral:lncRNA from 1 species
UGUGUUGUCGGCGGUGGGCUGUUCCGCCGGUGAUGCGCCGGGUCCACCGGCCGGAGUAGGCGAGGGAGGAGAACCGGCAAGACCACCGGCCGGAGCUGGUGAUGGAGAAGUUGUAGAAGCAGAUGGAGAUGGAGUUGGUGAAGUUGUAGGUGCCGGAGAUGGGGUUGCUGUUGGCGGAGACACUGCUGGCGCCGGCACCGGAGUAGGUGUUGCUGCCGGAGAAAUUUUAGGUGCAGGAGCUGGAGAUUGAGCUAAACAUGAAGCAGCAAAAAAGGCUAAGAAAAGCAUAACUUUGAAAUAAGAGGCCAUUUUUGCAAAGCUUUUGUUUUUCUCUUUUGUGAUUUUACUAAGGAAG